UGGGGACAACAGUUGGAAACGACUGCUAAUACCCAAUAUGCCGCAAGUGAAAGUUUUUCGCCUGGAGAGGAGCUCGCGUCCGAUUAGCUAGUUGGGGUGGUAAAAGCGCACCAAGGCAACGAUCGGUAGCUGGUCUGAGAGGAUGAGCAGCCACACUGGGACUGAGACACGGCCCAGACUCCUACGGGAGGCAGCAGUGGGGAAUUUUCCGCAAUGGGCGCAAGUGACGGAGCAAUACCGCGUGAGGGAGGAAGGCUUUUGGGUUGUAAACCUCUUUUCUCAAGGAAGAAGCACUGACGGUACUUGAGGAAUCAGCAUCGGCUAACUCCGUGCCAGCAGCCGCGGUAAUACGGAGGAUGCAAGCGUUAUCCGGAAUUAUUGGGCGUAAAGCGUCCGCAGUGGUGCAUCAAGUCUGCUGUCAAAGACCAGGGCUUAACCCUGGGCCGGCAGUGGAAACUGGUGAACUAGAGUACGGUAGGGGUAGAGGGAAUUCCCAGUGUAGCGGUGAAAUGCGUAGAGAUUGGGAAGAACACCAGUGGCGAAGGGCUCUACUGGACCUGUACUGACACUCAGGGACGAAAGCUAGGGUAGCGAAAGGGAUUAGAUACCCCUGUAGUCCUAGCUGUAAACGAUGGAUACUAGGCGUUGCUUGUAUCGACCCGAGCAGUGCCGUAGCUAACGCGUUAAGUAUCCCGCCUGGGGAGUACGCACGCAAGUGUGAAACUCAAAGGAAUUGACGGGGGCCCGCACAAGCGUGGGAGUAUGUGGUUUAAUUCGAUGCAACGCGAAGAACCUUACCAGGACUUGACAUCCCGCGAAUCUCUUUGAAAGGAGA
rnacentral:rRNA from 1 species